ACAAAUAGGACUCAAUUGGAGACGUCACGCAAAAAGAGGGAUCUAGCGCGCAAUUUACCCAUUCAAACAAAAAGGGCGCAAAUCCGACUCCUUAGAUCGGGCUAAUGCUCGGACCUUCACUUUAUUAAACAGUGCAGUUUUUGAAAACUACUGUUAUACCUUCCUUUUUCAAUUGUUUUUCUUUUAAAACGCAGCAAACUUUCCUUUUAAACCUAAGUAUGCUAUCAGCCCAUUUUUUAGGGUUUCAUCUAGCAAGUGCCGCCAACGAGGGGAGCAUUUGAGUCAUAAAAUCAAUUUACAGCCUUAAAAUCUCUCCCCUGUUUUCAAUUUCAACGAAACAAAGAAGAUCCAUGGUGAAUUUAUAAAGUGUGCAUGGCGCGGUGCUGCUGACAUGGCGAGGCCAUUCGUGAGGCGUGAUACAAAGGCUUCCAAAAGCUUCACUAUUUGGGGCUGCUGUGGUGCUUGCGGCGCAUGGGAAUGGUAGCUUGGUGGCCUAGGGUUUCCACUUUCUAAAAAUAUUUAAUGGGCUAUGUUUUUGGGUUAAGUUAUUGGGGUAUGUAAUGGGUUAGGAUUAGGUUUAAUUUAGGUUUGGGCCUUAUUGUAAAAUGAGUUUAAAAUUUGGGCUUCAAUUGUAUGUGGGCUGAAUGUAAAUUUGGACUAUGGACAUUUAUUGGAUUUUUAUUUUGCGA